UACGGAGGGUGCAAGCGUUGUUCGGAAUUAUUGGGCGUAAAGCGCGUGUAGGCGGCUAUUUAAGUCUGAUGUGAAAGCCCGGGGCUCAACCUCGGAAGUGCUAUCCAGUUUCCAAUGCACUUCCGGGGCUCAACCUCGGAAGUGCAUUGGAAACUGGAUAGCUUGAGUACGGGAGAGGGUAGUGGAAUUUCGAGUGUAGGGGUGAAAUCCGUAGAUAUUCGAAGGAACACCGGUGGCGAAGGCGGCUACC
rnacentral:rRNA from 1 species